rnacentral:lncRNA from 1 species
GCCAAGGCAGUGGACUAGAGUCCCAUCAUGAAGGAACCAGCAAGAACAAUCACAUCUCCUGUGGGCUGCAUCCAGGGACAAGUUACCCUCCCUUCUGUGAUCAGAGCCCAGGAAGAAAAGAAGAGUCACAUUACCUAGGUGGGCCCAGAGAUGUGUCACAAUGUCACCUGUUGGCAAAUACCAAGGCCCAGACAGAAGAGAAGAGUCACAUCAUCUAGAUGAUGAAUGAAAAGAUAUGUCAUUAUUCUCCUUUGGGCAGUGCUUCUGCAGAAAAGUUGCACCUUCUAGGUGUUGGACUCAGCAAUAUAUCACAAUGUCUGCAGUAUUUUGGAAGGAGAGGAGAGUCACCAUUACUUAGUCUAUCUUCAAUUUACAGACCUUGGCUUUUCUACCCCAAUUCAAGAAGUCACUUCUUCAGUCAACCAAACCAAUUACAAAAUUGUGUUCCAAUGUCACAUGUUCAAAAAUAAACAGUUCCUGAAAAGAUGUAA